rnacentral:lncRNA from 1 species
UCGUGGGUCUGAAGCUGCUUGAGUCCCGAAUUUGUCUCCUGCUGCUUCUGGGACUUGUCCUAAUGCUUGCCUCAUGCCAGCCACCAACCCCUUCAAAUCUAGCAUUUCUAUAAUAGCGCCUAUCCCCGAUGUGAUGAUGCAAUGAGGGUCAUUAACACUUAUACAAGAAUGUGUAAAGACACGAAUACUUUUCUUCAUACAACUUUGGCUGAUGUUGUUGGUGUGUGUGGCAAUCCAAAUUCCACCUGCAAAGACGAGAUAAGUAGAGAUUGUCAUGAUAGUUCAUCUCGGGUAUCUGUAAAUUUCCUCACAACUCCAGCAAGCCAUUAUAUGGAAUGGAGAUACCAAGCGACACGAUCAGUGAAGUAAUACAGAGUGGCCUGUGAGAACAGAACUUCAUUGGACACUCCCACCUACCCAGUAUUUCUGGUUCACUUGGAUGGGA